CUCGGUUUCGGGUCUCAGUCAAAGUUGGUCAGCCGCGGUUCGGGUGUGGUUCGACGGGUCAGAUUGAAUUUUCCUUUCAGCUUUAUGACCUCAAGCAGCAAGGUUUCAUAGAGAGGCAAGAGGUGAAAUUUUUUUAGUAGACGAAAACACUGCGUUUUAGCGAUUUUUAUUACAAGAACCUGGAAUUUGGUUAAUGUUUAACAUCUAAAAUACUCUUCUCUGGAAUUUGAUUAGAAAUUUGUUAUGUUUUGA